GAUAACCACGAAGGACCCAUUAUCAGGCCC
rnacentral:piRNA from 1 species